UGACUCCCAAGGAGGAAGGAUCUCUAUCUGGAGAUCAUCCCUCUUCCAAGAGGGCACCCCUCUUGGAGCCCUUCUGUGAGCCCAGGACAUGGAUCCCUUAGAAGAUGGAUCACCACUUGGAAAGAGCCACAGUAUUGAGUCUUUGUCCUUGAUCUGCGUGCUGGAAUGGGGCCUCACUCUUCUGUUCUGCCUAUCUGAGCUGCCAGAACAAGCCUUUUGAAUCUGAGAAGCUUUUUCAUAAGUAUAGCAAGCAGCUUUUUCAGUGUAGUACAAGAAGGAUCUACAUCACAUAAUGGGAUACAGUACUGCAUCAGAAGUCCAUUGAGCUGGGUUCAGUUCCUGCAUUGACUUCCUGAGGUGAAAUCACUUCAUCUUUUUGUGCCUCAGUAACCCUAUCACCUGUACGAUAGGGGUAAUAUCUUUCAUUAUUAAAUGCUUUGCUAUGACAAGUCUUUCUAAGAUGAGCUAAGUUGUGUCUUCAGAAAUUACAAAAAUCAGAAUGCACUUUGGUCAUGAUAAUGAAUAAAUGUAGGCUAAGAAAGAACAGAUUUGCUUAAUAGGAAACCACUGCUACUCAACAGAACUAAAUGAAAUAAGUUGACCCUGGGAUUAAUUAAAUAGAACUGCUAUUGCUAGUGGCUUGUUGUGAAUUGGAGAAAUAAUUUUGUCUUGUAAUAUGUUAACUGAAGUGUAAUAGAAAAGCUAAAGACAGAUAGGAGCUCUGAUAUUGAAAAGGCCAUGGAAAUACAAUCAGGAUUAUUUAUUUUGGAAUCACAAAUGGAGAGUGCUGAACUGUUUGUUACUCUAACUUCAUUAAAAAAUAGUCACAAUAGAGACCUUGAUAAACUGGGACACAUUUCAGUGACUAGAAACCUAUUGUAAUCACAAUGACAGUAAUAUAAUCUUGGGCUUUAGUCCAUAUGUCUGUCCUAAUGAGAGCUAUUAAUGUCAUUGGUUUGCAUCCAGCUUGCAGGCCAAGACACUUAACUAAACAUUUUUUUGUUUGUUUCUGUCAUUAGCUGGGAUGCAGAGACCAAAUGGCUGGGACUAUCUUGUUCUUUAGUUCAAUUAAUAGACCUCUGUUGUUUCCCUGGAAUAAAAAUCUGACAGCACAGGAUAAAAAAUUACUCCAAAGCUUGCAGUGGGACCAACAAAUGAAAUCCAUCAUGGAUUUAAAUGGAAUCAUAUUACAGUCUUCUCCCUUCAUUGGACCAGGGAUCUUUUCCUGUGUAAUGUUUACGUUACUUUGAAUCAUGAAGACAAGGACAAAUUCAGGGAGUUGCUGAAUCCUUUGUCAUGAGCCUUGACUCAUCUAUUUUCCUGUGGAAGAACCAGCUAAGGUCUCUGUUGAGGAAAAGUAAACAGUGGGCAUGCAAUUUAUAGCUCCUUCUAUUCUUCCAGGCAGAAUGAAAUCUCUGGGCAAUGGCUGAAGCAAUUCUGCCUGUGACACCACUGCAGUAAUGCACAGUAGUAGCAGCAGACAGUUGACUUGUAGGAAUGGUACAUGUGCUCCAUCUUUGCCUGGAAGUUGUUCAUGAAUUCCUUGAUGAUUGCUAUCACCACUGUAUUUUGAGUCCAAGGAGUGCUGAUUAUAAAAACAUAUGUUUUUCAGGACUGUAGUCAAUUGUUUGGGACCUCUGAAGUUAAGCAGUGCUCUGUAAAUGAAAUAUGUAGAAAUAGAGAUGUGCAGGAAAUAAUCUCAAACAGCAGUGAUAUAUUUUGCUUUUUAUAAGUUGAGUUCUCAUAGGAGAAGUAAAAAUUGCUGCG
rnacentral:lncRNA from 1 species